GACGAACGCUGGCGGCGUGCUUAACACAUGCAAGUCGAGCGGUAAGGCCCUUUCGGGGGUACACGAGCGGCGAACGGGUGAGUAACACGUGGGUGACCUGCCCUCAGCUCUGGGAUAAGGCCUGGGGAAACCCGGGUCUAAUACCGGAUAUGACUCCAUGACGCAUGUUGUGGGGUGGAAAGCCUUGUGCGGCUGAGGAUGGGCCCGCGGCCUAUCAGCUUGUUGGUGGGGUGAUGGCCUACCAAGGCGACGACGGGUAGCCGGCCUGAGAGGGCGACCGGCCACACUGGGACUGAGACACGGCCCAGACUCCUACGGGAGGCAGCAGUGGGGAAUCUUGCGCAAUGGGCGAAAGCCUGACGCAGCGACGCCGCGUGAGGGAUGACGGCCUGGU
rnacentral:rRNA from 1 species